ensembl:lncRNA
GCUUCAGCCACUCAACUGAAUGUGGUUGUGUUAUGGAAGCAACUCAGUUUAGGACCCUUCAUCAAUGGGGAGAGAUUUGCCUCCAGAAACCAACUCUGAGAUCGGCAGAGGUAGCUGAGUAGGAAAAUCUCCAAGUCCUCUCACAAACACACCAAGAUCACAAUGAUCUGCAGAAGAGCCAUCGGUGAGAAAGACUGGAACCUUUCAGAAAAGAUCUGAAACUAACAACAUCAAGAAGAAACUAUGAUGAGAUGGGGAGGAGGGACAGACUGGCAGCAUACUUAAGCCCCACACGCCCAGCCAGUCCUACCUGCUGGUCUUGGAGAGUCUCCUGGAGACGUGGAAGUCGCCUGUGGCUCAUGCUGGGGACAUAGGCACUGGCAGCAACUGAUCCUGGGAGCGAAACCUGGCGUGGAUGCUGGUGCACGCAGAGGCUGACGGUGAAUUUCAAAACCUUCCCUCCAGUACAUCAGUGUCAACACCUGCCUCUACCCAAUAACCUGUAGGCCCCAGUGCUGAGAGACUUCACAUCAAGCAAUUAACAUGGCAGGGAUACAGCUGCUCCCAUCAGCAGACAGGCUGUGUCCAGACCUGGCUGUGGGUUCAGGAGGUCUUAAGUACUUUAAGACUCUGCGCUUCCACUGUAGGGGGCUUGGGUUCAAUCCCUGGUCAGGGAAGUUUCGCAUGCUGUGGUGUGGCCCCAAAAUAAAGCCUGAUGGGACUUGGGCUCCAUAUUAAAAAAAAAAAUAUUAAAGUGAUAGAAAAUACAAUUUAAAAAAAUAAAGAGUUUAUCCCCUGCCUUAAAUUUAAAAAACAACAACAAAAAAAGGUGGCUGAAUUAUUUGUUGGCAGUGUAAGAUUUUAAAAUGUAUAAAUCUUUUCUUUGAAUAUAAAUUACUUACAGAAUAGAUUUUCACCCUCUGCAUGUUCUUACACACAGCAGUUAACUGCUGAGGCUUAAGGUUUACACAGUGGUGAUGACAGUAGUUUCAAUAGAUAACUUCUGGACAGCUUAGGAUAGCUCCCCAUAGUUCACUGUAAUUGAAUAAGAUUAGGAU